rnacentral:rRNA from 1 species
CAGUCGCCACGGUAAUACGAAGGGGGCUAGCGUUGCUCGGAAUCACUGGGCGUAAAGGGUGCGUAGGCGGGUCUUUAAGUCAGGGGUGAAAUCCUGGAGCUCAACUCCAGAACUGCCUUUGAUACUGAAGAUCUUGAGUUUGGGAGAGGUGAGUGGAACUGCGAGUGUAGAGGUGAAAUUCGUAGAUAUUCGCAAGAACACCAGUGGCGAAGGCGGCUCACUGGCCCGAUACUGACGCUGAGGCACGAAAGCGUGGGGAGCAAACAGGAUUAGAUACCCCCGUAGUCCCUGUCUCUUAUAC